AUUGAACGCUGGCGGCAGGCUUAACACAUGCAAGUCGAGCGAGCGGCGGACGGGUGAGUAAUGUCUGGGAAACUGCCUGCUGGAGGGGGAUAACUACUGGAAACGGUAGCUAAUACCGCAUACCAUCAGAUGUGCCCAGAUGGGAUUAGCUAGUAGGUGGGGUAAUGGCUCACCUAGGCGACGAUCCCUAGCUGGUCUGAGAGGAUGACCAUCCAAACUGGAACGGAGACACGGUCCAGAGUCCUACGGGAGGCAGCAGUGGAGAAUAUUGCACAAGGGGCGCAAGCCUGAUGCAGCCAUGCCGCGUGUGUGAAGAAGGCUUUCGGGUUGUAAAGCGCUUUAAGCGAGGAGGCGUUACUCGCAGAGGAAGCACCGGCUAACUCCGUGCCAGCAGCCGCGGUAAUUC
rnacentral:rRNA from 1 species